rnacentral:rRNA from 1 species
CACGUAGGGCGCAAGCGUUGUCCGGAAUUAUUGGGCGUAAAGAGCUCGUAGGCGGUUUGUCACGUCUGCUGUGAAAUCCCGAGGCUCAACCUCGGGCCUGCAGUGGGUACGGGCAGACUGGAGUGCGGUAGGGGAGAAUGGAAUUCCUGGUGUAGCGGUGGAAUGCGCAGAUAUCAGGAGGAACACCGAUGGCGAAGGCAGUUCUCUGGGCCGUAACUGACGCUGAGGAGCGAAAGCGUGGGGAGCGAACAGG